rnacentral:lncRNA from 1 species
CACAUCCUAGGGAGUGUCUUGUCUAAAUGACAACCACAAGAUUUCCCUCACGAGAGGUCGAAAUCACAAAUCCAAUGGUUGUCCCUUGCCAACAAAACAAGUGAGACAAUCACAAAUCCUUUCAAACCAAAUCAACAAACGUCACACAAUUUGUUCCACAAAAAAAAACUCUAAAAAAAAGAGAGAGAAGAAGCCCGCUAAGUCGAAACUUGAAAGCAAGUGGCUUAGGCAAAAAUUAGGGUAUCCCG